UGGCCCUGUGGUCAAGCGGUUAAGACACCACCCUUUCACGGUGGUAUCCCGAGUUCGAUUCUCGGCAGGGUCACCAU
rnacentral:tRNA from 1 species